AUUGAACGCUGGCGGCAUGCUUUACACAUGCAAGUCGAACGGCAGCACAGGUGGCAACACCGGGUGGCGAGUGGCGAACGGGUGAGUAAUCCAUCGGAACGUACCGUGUAGCGGGGGAUAACCGCGCGAAAGCGUGGCUAAUACCGCAUACGCUUGAAAAAGGAAAGUGGGGGACCGCAAGGCCUCACACUAUACGAGCGGCCGAUGGCUGAUUAGCUAGUUGGUGGGGUAAAGGCCUACCAAGGCUACGAUCAGUAGCGGGUCUGAGAGGACGAUCCGCCACACUGGGGCUGGAACACGGCCCAGACUCCUACGGGAGGCAGCAGUGGGGAAUUUUGGACAAUGGGGGCAACCCUGGUCCAGCCAUGCCGCGUGUCCGAAGAAGGCCUUCGGGUUGUAAAGGACUUUUGUUGGGGAUCAAGUCAUAGGUUCGAAUAAAGCCUAUUGAUUGAGCGUACCCAAAGAAUAAGCACCGGCUAACUACGUGCCAGCCGCCGCCGUAAGAC
rnacentral:rRNA from 1 species